CCCUCCCCUCAUACAAAUAAUACAAACAGCCCACUAACAAACAUACACACAAUCCGCACAAACGUAACCCGCUAACAAUCCACAUACAUGCACACAACCCCACAUGCAAUACACCAAACAGCCCCCCCCACACUACCAAACACAUAAUGUGACUUAUCCAUCCACACACAAUUCCACAAGCAACCCCCAUACACAGCCCACAUUCAUACGUAUCAUACACGAUAUCAUAAACUACUAAUGAACAUAUAGAAUAUAAUCGCUCCUAUACACACAAAUACAAUUAUACAAAGCAAUCACAGUAAAAAUAACACAAGCAGAAUACGGCAGCAUACACACCUCAAUUUAAAAAAAAUAGGACCGGCACGCUACGGGACAUCACAAUCCUAUAUCGGCACAGUGCUGCUAAAAGGUUGCCUACCC